rnacentral:rRNA from 1 species
GAUGAACGCUGGCGGCGUGCCUAAUACAUGCAAGUCGAGCGAACAGACGAGGAUCUUGCUCCUCUGACGUUAGCGGCGGACGUGUGAGUAACACGUGGAUAACCUACCUAUAAGACUGGGAUAACUUCGGGAAACCGGAGCUAAUACCGGAUAAUAUAUUGAACCGCAUGGUUCAAUAGUGAAAGACGGUUUUGCUGUCACUUAUAGAUGGAUCCGCGCCGCAUUAGCUAGUUGGUAAGGUAACGGCUUACCAAGGCAACGAUGCGUAGCCGACCUGAGAGGGUGAUCGGCCACACUGGAACUGAGACACGGUCCAGACUCCUACGGGAGGCAGCAGUAGGGAAUCUUCCGCAAUGGGCGAAAGCCUGACGGAGCAACGCCGCGUGAGUGAUGAAGGUCUUCGGAUCGUAAAACUCUGUUAUUAGGGAAGAACAAAUGUGUAAGUAACUAUGCACGUCUUGACGGUACCUAAUCAGAAAGCCACGGCUAACUACGUG